GACGAACGCUGGCGGCGUGCUUAACACAUGCAAGUCGAGCGGUAAGGCCCUUUCGGGGGUACACGAGCGGCGAACGGGUGAGUAACACGUGGGUGACCUGCCUCUAGCUCUGGGAUAAGCCUGGGAAGCUGGGUCUAAUACCGGAUAUGACCUCGCGGUGCAUGUUGCGGGGUGGAAAGCCUUGUGCGGCUAGGGGAUGGGCCCGCGGCCUAUCAGCUUGUUGGUGGGGUGANGGCCUACCAAGGCGACGACGGGUAGCCGGCCUGAGAGGGCGACCGGCCACACUGGGACUGAGACACGGCCCAGACUCCUACGGGAGGCAGCAGUGGGGAAUCUUGCGCAAUGGGCGAAAGCCUGACGCAGCGACGCCGCGUGAGGGAUGACGGCCUGGU
rnacentral:rRNA from 1 species